GGUUUGUGGCUCAGCGGUAGAGUACUCACCUAGUACGUGUGAGGUCCUGGGUUCAAUCCUCAGCACCA
rnacentral:tRNA from 1 species